AGGUAAUUUCCCAGGAGCUCUGCAAUGGACGCCAUGGUCCAGAGGAGAGAAUUUCAAAUCUUGAGGGGGGAAAUGGCAUAAUUACACAACGUUCUUAAGAAGAUUGAAAUAGUCUUAAAAUGGAAGGGUGCUGUGGUCCAGUCGAGGAAGGAAUAAAGCUCCCAAGAUAAUGGAUUUUAAAAUUCGCAUUAAACAAGAAAAGAUUCCAAUGAAGAUGUUGUAGAAGAACAUAAAGUAUGUGAAGAUGAAGAGGAGGCGCCUACAAUUAAUAAUGCAAAAUGACAAACAAUUUUAUUGUUUUGUUGUUGUUCUUGGUGAUAUCGUCAUGUGUUUCUGUCCCUCAACAAAACAUUUGUACAUAUAAACAAAUAUAUAGUGUGUUUUAAGGUGGUAUGGGAUUCCUUCAUAUUGUGACGUACUUCGGAUGGAAAUAAACAAUAAAAUCAAGUAUUAUUUGAU
rnacentral:sRNA from 1 species